AUAGGGGACUUCAAUGAGAUUAUUUACUCUUCUGAAAAAGAAGGGGGGCCCUUGGCACAGUCAAAAAUGCAAGCGUUUCAAGAUGCUUUAUCAGAUUGCUCCCUAGAAGAUAUUGGUUACGAAGGGGAUAAGUUUACUUGGUUUUGAGAAGGAAUAAAAGAAAGACUAGACCGGGCAGUGUCUAACCAGUCAUGGGCGCAGAUGCAUCCUUGGGCAGGAUUGAUAAACCUGGAGAUGGGAAAAUCUGACUAUCGGCCUAUUUGUCUAGACACAAACCAUCUCCGUGAUGUAGCUGAUGGCCAAAGGAAGGAAAGAAGACUUGAGGCACGUUCGUUAGCAGAAGAUACAGUGGAGGAAAUUGUCCGAACUGCAUGGCAAAAAGUAGUACACAAUGGCGUGUGUCCGGGCAUCCAAGACAAGCUUGAGUCUGUCCAUAAUGAUCUGCAUGUGUGGGAUCGGACGGUACUAAAAAAUUCACGAUCGAAGUUGAGGAAAGUUCAAACAGAACUAGAGAAGCUCAUGCGAGCUCAUAUGAACGAUGAAGCUAAGGCGAGGCAGAAGGAGCUUACAGUUCUUAUAGAAAAACAUACUGGAACAAGACGAGAUAUAUUGGGCCCAAAGGGGGCAGGGUGA
rnacentral:rRNA from 1 species